rnacentral:tRNA from 1 species
GGCUCUGUAGCUUAGAUGGUAAAGCACUUGUCUAGCGAAUAAGGGUCGUGAGUUCAAAUCUCACAUGAACUG